GAGUUUGAUCAUGGCUCAGGAUGAACGCUAGCGGCAGGCUUAACACAUGCAAGUCGAGGGGUAACAGAGGUAGCUUGCUACUUGCUGACGACCGGCGCACGGGUGCGUAACGCGUAUAGAAUCUACCUUGUACUAGGGGAUAGCCUUUGGAAACGAAGAUUAAUACCCUAUAGUAAGUAUUUAUGGCAUCAUUUAUACUUUAAAGGUUACGGUACAAGAUGACUAUGCGUCCUAUUAGUUUGUUGGUGAGGUAACGGCUCACCAAGACUUCGAUAGGUAGGGGCCCUGAGAGGGGGAUCCCCCACACUGGUACUGAGACACGGCCCAGACUCCUACGGGAGGCAGCAGUGGGGAAUAUUGGACAAUGGGCGCAAGCCUGAUCCAGCCAUACCGCGUGUGUGAAGAAGGCCUUCGGGUUGUAAAGCACUUUAAGCAGGGAGAAAAAGUUAUAAGUUAAUACCUUAUAACCCUGAUGUUACCUGCAGAAUAAGCACCGGCUAAUUCCGUGCCAGCAGCCGCGGUAAUACGGAAGGUGCAAGCGUUAAUCGGAAUUACUGGGCGUAAAGCGCGCGUAGGUGGUUUGUUAAGUUGGAUGUGAAAGCCCUGGGCUCAACCUAGGAACUGCAUCCAAAACUAACUCACUAGAGUACGAUAGAGGGAGGUAGAAUUCAUAGUGUAGCGGUGGAAUGCGUAGAUAUUAUGAAGAAUACCAGUGGCGAAGGCGGCCUCCUGGAUCUGUACUGACACUGAGGUGCGAAAGCGUGGGUAGCGAACAGGAUUAGAUACCCUGGUAGUCCACGCCGUAAACGAUGACAACUAGCUGUUGGGAGACUAUGUCUUUCAGUGGCGCAGCUAACGCUUUAAGUUGUCCGCCUGGGGAGUACGGCCGCAAGGCUAAAACUCAAAUGAAUUGACGGGGACCCGCACAAGCGGUGGAGCAUGUGGUUUAAUUCGAUGCAACGCGAAAAACCUUACCUACUCUUGACAUACUUGGAGGCUCUUGUAAUGAGAGUGUGCCUUUUGGAACCAAGAUACAGGUGCUGCAUGGCUGUCGUCAGCUCGUGUCGUGAGAUGUUCCGUUAAGUCGGAUAACGAGCGCAACCCUUACCCUUAUUUGCCAGCGAUUCGGUCGGGAACUAUAAGGGGACUGCCGGUGAUAAACCGGAGGAAGGUGGGGACGACGUCAAGUCAUCAUGGCCCUUACGACCAGGGCUACACACGUGCUACAAUGGAGCGUACAAAGGGUUGCAACCCCGCGAGGGUGAGCUAAUCCCAUAAAACGUUUCGUAGUCCGGAUCGCAGUCUGCAACUCGACUGCGUGAAGUCGGAAUCGCUAGUAAUCGUAGAUCAGAAUGCUACGGUGAAUACGUUCCCGGGCCUUGUACACACCGCCCGUCACACCAUGGGAGUGGGUUGCAAAAGAAGUGGGUAGCAUAACCUUCGGGAGUGCGCUCACCACUUUGUGAUUCAUGACUGGGGUGAAGUCGUAACAAGGUAACC
rnacentral:rRNA from 1 species